CCUACGGGUGGCAGCAGUGGGGAAUAUUGCACAAUGGGGGAAACCCUGAUGCAGCAAAGCCGCGUGGGUGAAGAAGUAUUUCGGUAUGUAAAGCCCUAUCAGCAGGGAAGAGAAUGACGGUACCUGACUAAGAAGCCCCGGCUAACUACGUGCCAGCAGCCGCGGUAAUACGUAGGGGGCAAGCGUAAUCCGGAUUUACUGGGCGUAAAGGGAGCGUAGACGGUUGUGCAAGUCUGAAGUGAAAGCCCGGGGCUCAACCGCGGAACGGCUUUGGAAACUGUGUAACUGGAGUGCUGGAGAGGUAAGCGGAAUGCCUGGUGUAGCGGUGAAAUGCGUAGAGAUCGGGAGGAACACCGGCGGCGAAGGCGGCUUACUGGACAGUAACUGACGUUGAGGCUCGAAAGCGUGGGUAGCGAACAGGAUUAGAUACCCCAGUAGUC
rnacentral:rRNA from 1 species